rnacentral:rRNA from 1 species
UAGGGAAUCUUCGGCAAUGGACGGAAGUCUGACCGAGCAACGCCGCGUGAGUGAAGAAGGGUUUCGGAUCGUAAAGCUCUGUUGUUAGAGAAGAACGUUGGUAGGAGUGGAAAAUCUACCAAGUGACGGUAACUAACCAGAAAGGGACGGCUAACUACGUGCCAGCAGCCGCGGUAAUACGUAGGUCCCGAGCGUUGUCCGGAUUUAUUGGGCGUAAAGCGAGCGCAGGCGGUUCUUUAAGUCUGAAGUUAAAGGCAGUGGCUUAACCAUUGUACGCUUUGGAAACUGGAGGACUUGCGUGCAGAAGGGGAGAGUGGAAUUCGAUGUGUAGCGGUGAAAUGCGUAAAUAUAUGGAGGAACACCGGUGGCGUAAGCGGCUCACUGGUCUGUAACUGACACAGAGGCUCAAAAGCGAGGGGAGCGAACAGG